GACGAACGCUGGCGGCGUGCUUAACACAUGCAAGUCGAACGGUGAAAGCGGAGCUUGCUCCGCUGGAUCAGUGGCGAACGGGUGAGUAACACGUGGGCAACCUGCCCCAGACUUCGGGAUAACUCCUCGAAAGAGGUGCUAAUACCGGAUACGAAGCCCCCAGGCAUCUGGGGGCUUGGAAAGUUCUUCGGUCUGGGAUGGGCCCGCGGCCUAUCAGCUUGUUGGUGAGGUAACGGCUCACCAAGGCGACGACGGGUAGCCGGCCUGAGAGGGCGACCGGCCACACUGGGACUGAGACACGGCCCAGACUCCUACGGGAGGCAGCAGUGGGGAAUAUUGCGCAAUGGGCGAAAGCCUGACGCAGCAACGCCGCGUGAGGGAUGACGGCCUUCGGGUUGUAAACCUCUUUCAGCAGGGAAGAAGCGAAAGUGACGGUACCUGCAGAAGAAGCACCGGCUAACUACGUGCCAGCCGCCGCGGUAAGAC
rnacentral:rRNA from 1 species